UUUUUUUUUUUGUUUUUUUUUUUUUUUAAAUAGUCCAGCCCUCUAAUUAUUACAACUGGUGUUGGAAUUACAUUGGAAUGGUGUCAUGGACUCGGGACAUAAAUGUAGUUCUCAUGUAUUUGAUCUUGUGGUGAGGACAUGAUCAUUGUCCACAUCCAGUCACAGGACUCGGCUUACAGCGGUAGCCACGGCGGUGUGAUUUUAAUGUUUAUGGCUCAACCGGCUUCAUAUUUAGACAGAGCUUACAGGGUGUUAAAAUAGUGUGAGUUCACUCUCACACGAACAGUGCCCACAUUGUGAAAAGGCCGUGUACAAGGCGUAGCAUCUAGACUCCACUUAAUCCGCCCUCAGUAAAGCUGACAUAAUGAUCCUAAGCCGCCUUUUUACAAAAUCAUUCAGGAAUUCAAAACUUUUCUUUCCCUUUUUUUCAGAUUUGCACAUUCUCUGGGGCCGGACUGAUGGACCGGCGACUCCAGGCUUGGAGCGACAUCUGUUCCAGUGAGAUGAGCAAAUAAACAAAGCUGGAUGUUACGUCAUGGACGAGAGAGUGAGAGAGAGAGAGAGAGAGAGAGGACCGGAUGAGAUGGAAGAAAGAAAAAGGUGUUGGCUGUAAAAGAGGCUGGUCAGAAAAGGCACCUCCUGCAGUCACAGCAGAGACUCCUGCGCCUGCUGCUCCAUCCUGAUUCACCGCAGCAGACUUUGGAGAGAUGAUGGAAAUGUGAGCAGGUCUCGGUCCACGCUCUGUCACGGACCAUUCCAGCUUGAGACACUGGUCCAUUCACUGCAGGUCAAUAUGUCCAAUCAAGACCAGGAGUAACAUCCAGCACCUGCUUCUGUAAGUUCCGUCCACGCAGUCCCGUGUCCACAUCUGCUGCUCAGUAAACGAGGCGAUUUUUUUUGUGUUUGUCGGACACAAGAAAAAAAAACUCCCAUGUCUUUCUUCUCUUUCUCUGUCACUUAAUCCGCUAAAGUUAAUUUGUCACAAGUGCAUUUUUUUUAAUUCGCGGAGCAGCGGGGAGAUGUGUGCCUUUGCACAGCAGAUGUCAGAUGCUGUCGGGACUGAGCGCACAACGCGCUCCGUACCACGCUGGCCAUGCCUGUGUGCCAGAUCUAUACACUGUAAAAAAUAUCGAUCUGAACAAGUCAUUGAAUGUGGGCCUUGCAUUUUACGAGUCUUUAUGUUUCUUAGAAUUAAAAAAAACAGUAACAACACAGAAACGUGUUGUGAUUAUUUCAUUAUGUUUCUAUUACAACUUGUUUUUAUGAAAAGUUAGAAUCAGUUUACUUUUUGAAAAUAGUAACAUAAAUUACCAAUAUGAUACCAAUGUGUUUUUAUGCGUAAAAAUGCGUAAAAAUCACCGCAUCAGAGCACAAGCAAUACAUACAUAUAUAAGUAAAAAAAAUAGUAAAACAAUUUAGUAAAAAAAUUAACCUGAAAAUGAAGUUGAUAUUUUUGCAGUGUACCUUCUCUCUUGCUCUCGAGGACAGAGCCGCUGCCGAGACGAUGUUGUUUUAAUUUACAAACCUUUCUUUCUUUGGCUAAAACAACACGUUCCAAUAUAAUUCUGGUUUAUUUUUGAUUGAAUGACAAACUCAAAACAACUGAUAGUGAACUUACUCAGUCACGUGAGCAGUAGGUCAGUCCACCCCCAGAGCACAGAGCGUGCAUUUACACAAACAUGAAGUAAAUACAACAGUGAGAAAAAGAUAGAAAAUAAAGUAACGGGUGCAAUUUAUUGUGAUAAUGUUGGGUGAAUGUGGCGCCAACCUUAACAGCAAAGCUUGUACAAAAGUUUUUUAACCUCUCUCUCUCUCUCUCUCUCUCUCUCUCUCUCUCUCUCUCUCUCUCUCUCUCUCUCUCUCUCUCCCUCUCCCCCUCUACCUCUCUCUCCUCUCUUUUGUUGUUUUUAUUGUGUG